GGUGUGGGGACCGGGGGGCUGGUGCCGUGGUGGGGUUGUGGGUGCAUAGUUUCAAGCACUGCACUGGUAUCUGAAAGCGUGACAUCUUGGCCCGGGUGUUAACAUUCUUGCGGCAUGGCCAUUUCAACUAGGAUCGACUUCCACAAAUCAAAAUGAAAUGAUCUUUACUGUCACGUCCGAGACCUCGAUGUCAACCCUGAAUCUUUGCUGGUUUGCAGCACUUAUCGGGAGAACACACCC
rnacentral:lncRNA from 1 species